GUCACUGUGGCGGAAUGGUUUACGCAUACGCUUCGAAAGCGUUCCCUCUCUGAGGUUGCAGGUUCGAGUCCUGUCGGUGACG
rnacentral:tRNA from 1 species